GUUCUUAUUCGCUGACAUUUGUUUUCUAAUUGCUUGAAAUUUGGUAAUUUCCUUAGUGUUUUCCUGGCCGACCUGUGCUGGUAUUGUAAUUAAGAGCUAAUACACCAUUCUCUGGUGAACUGCAGCUGCGGCCGAAUUUGAUUGUGUGCAUCAUCCUGCAGAUAUUUUGAAGUAAGUUGGAACCAGCUCUUUGUUAUUUCAAAACCUAA